rnacentral:rRNA from 1 species
UACGAAGGGGGCUAGCGUUGCUCGGAAUCACUGGGUGUAAAGGGUGCGUAGGCGGGUCUUUAAGUCAGGGGUGAAAUCCUGGAGCUCAACUCCAGAACUGCCUUUGAUACUGAGGAUCUUGAGUAUGGGAGAGGUGAGUGGAACUGCGAGUGUAGAGGUGAAAUUCGUAGAUAUUCGCAAGAACACCAGUGGCGAAGGCGGCUCACUGGCCCAUUACUGACGCUGAGGCACGAAAGCGUGGGGAGCAAACAGGG